CGGUGGAUGAAAAGUUUUGCAGACGAGUACAACCAAGAUUUGCUGAAUGCCCUAAGAAUCCACAAACUUUUCGCCCGGCUGGUAUGUCACAUGAAAGAGCACAGCAGAAUGUAGCAAAGCCAUACUUUUAAGGAAACCCCUUUUAAGGAAACCCCUUUCCAGUAAGUCUGACACUAUAGUGUAUUGAUUAUCAAAGAUGGCUCUUUUGGACCGGGAAUGACCCCAACAAGAAUGGUGUUCUUUAUCUUGAAACGAUUUCGUAGAUAUGUAAAGAACCCCAACAGAGUAUGUCAAAUGGCUGGAACCAGUCUACGUUUAAAAGUAGUCCAUAGCAAUUCGGCUCAGACAGAAAAGGCUUACCUUUAUAAUUAGUAAAUUCAUAAACGUCUCUAUAUGUGCAUACUUCAGAUCGUCUUUGAUUCCUUGUUGACUCACACUCUUGCAUAAAGUUUGAAUUCAAUAUGAGCGUCGGAUAUGAUACUAAAGAAGAGAUAAGGAUAGUGUCUGCAUUUGCCACUAGAGGAAACAAUUGUUUUCAAUAGAGCACAUUGGAAAAGGUUUGAAUGAGCACUUUUUCACAGACUGGCAUUCACCACGUGUGUAGAGUGAAUCACAUGUGUAGAGUGAAAAACAUUUUUGUCAAAAGAUUCGAAAUCGGGUAUAAAUGUCACCAUGUGUCUUUUGAACCUGUAAAAAGAUUGCGGAACUGCUUCUGACAGAGCCCCUACUCUUGGAGAAAGAAAAGCCAUUGCCUUAAAGAUUGCAGAAAUGAAUCGAAGAUAUCUGUGACACGGAAUUUUGUCUGAAACACUGCAACAAGAACAACAAUCCAGCUCACAAGACGAUUUAUUUGAGGGUCAUCAACAAUGAGGUCAUCCAGGUCGUCAUCAUUCUCAAUCCAACAUAAUAAUUAAUAAUUAUUAUAAUUAUUAUACCUUUAUCAGAAUCCACAAUUUCUGUGCAUCGGUACGGGUCAGACUCACCUCGGUUACUAACUUCUUCAAUACUACUGAAAUUACUACUGUGGUCAUUAUCCAUUAAGUCUUCUGUGUACCACUUCUUAGCAUCAGUGCAAUAGUACAAUCUUUCGUGUUCCUUGAAUUUCUUGUGACUUAGUUCCUUUCCACAGUGAGGACCGACUGUAUACCUGUGCAAUGCAACUCUCUUUCUUUCGAGUUAAGCCAUCGUAACAAAAGCUUGAGUAUGGUCAGUGAUAUCUAUAGUCUAUAUAAUUAUAUCUGUAGCUAGCUAGCUCAGAUCUAGCCUCCUUCACAAGGCCUAAACAUUAGGCCUGCUACUGACUGCUUGCGCAUGCGCAAAAUUAUUGGACAAUAAUCCCGUAAUGUUUCCCAUUAAACUGAAUUUUUACCCGAAUUAUAUCCUGAAUAACAUAUACCCACAAAGAAUACUCUUCAUAACGUCAGCUAGCUAGCUAGAGACAGAGCUGUAUUGGUUACAGCAGCAAUUUCUUUCUGAUAGAGUCGACUUUCACCAAGGUUAGUGUCAGAUGGGCGUGGCCUAUCCAUUUCCCCUCCGUUCAGAGGAUUGUUAUCCACACUGUUGCAGGCUGUGAGUCCUUUGUUAACAUAGUAGGCUAAGGGUAGCUAUUAGAAUGCUUCUAUCCACUUUCUUCAAUCCACAAUCCACUUCCGUUCGUUGUGACGUCAUUGUUUUACUGAGCAAAAUACAAUGGUAUCCGAAUUACCCGUGGCGCAUGCGCAAACAGUCGAUACCAGGCCCUCUCUCUUAGCGGCCUGGAAUCGAGGCUAGCUCAGAUCCAGAUCAUAUGCAGUGCAGGGCAUUAAUUUGAAAAAAGAGGUGGGGCUGGCUAUUAGAUCCACGCGCAUGCGCAAUACUUUCCAGGUGCAAGGCAGCUGCAAUCUAUAUCUCUGCACUCAAACUCUGCAAUGGGAACUCUGCAAUGGGUACCGAUUCCGAAGCUUGUUUAAGUACUGCGCUCUUCUCUUCGGACCUUGAGGAUUCAGAUGUUAUCCCACUUGUUGAUGCUACACCAUCGAUACAGGUGGCUUAGAUAAUCCUGUGCAUCGCAGAAGGUUAUUCAGUGAAACCAAUGAAAAUCUGCCUUUGAAUAAAGGAACCAGUAGCUGUACAUCCAAUAAGAAGCGUAAAAGCCAACAGAAGAUCCUUAUGAAAGCAAAUUCUACCAUUGAAGAUUAAUAUUUUAGCAAAAGCUUCUCAGGUAUAUUGGAUGCCGUUGAGAAGAGGCUAGAGGCCGUUGAGCGGAGAUACCACAGUGACCAGUACAGAUACAGGCAGCUCUGGUGUUCCCACACGGGUUAGGCAUGAGCUACGAGAAGUAUACAAGGUUCUGUUGGAUUAUGAAUCGAGAGAAUUCGAUACAAAAAAACGCUUCACUGACCCUGUGAAUCAAAAUAUUUUGCGAAAACUGGUGUCAGAAAUGAGGGCAAUUAAUUCACAUGUGGCUGCUAUAACAAUGCUGCAAGACGUUUUUAUCAAACUAAAGUGGAAGAAGCUAAAGUGGAAGAAGCUAACUUAGCGUCGGCAAAAUCGCAUUAAAAGAAAACGUGAUUGGAGAAAAUUCAACUAGACCGAAGCCACCCCUUUUUGCUGAUGAUUUCUGGGGGUUUGGUGCUGAAUAGACAAUUGAACAAAACAUGCUGCUGGCAUUGUGAAC